rnacentral:tRNA from 1 species
UCCCCGUGCGGCUGCCGCGCCACCUCCCGGUGGUCGGAGGCACCCCUGGAGGUCGGGUAGAGUUUUCUCCGUCAGCA